rnacentral:snRNA from 1 species
GUGUUUGCUUUGACAGCACAUAUACUAAAAUUGGAAUGAUACAGAGAAGAUUAGCAUGGCCCCUGUGCAAGGAUGACACGCAAAUUCAUGAAGCAUUCCAUAAAAAA